rnacentral:rRNA from 1 species
UAGGGAAUCUUCCGCAAUGGGCGAAAGCCUGACGGAGCAACGCCGCGUGAGUGAUGAAGGUCUUCGGAUCGUAAAACUCUGUUAUUAGGGAAGAACAAAUGUGUAAGUAACUAUGCACGUCUUGACGGUACCUAAUCAGAAAGCCACGGCUAACUACGUGCCAGCAGCCGCGGUAAUACGUAGGUGGCAAGCGUUAUCCGGAAUUAUUGGGCGUAAAGCGCGCGUAGGCGGUUUUUUAAGUCUGAUGUGAAAGGCCACGGCUCAACCGUGGAGGGUCAUUGGAAACUGGAAAACUUGAGUGCAGAAGAGGAAAGUGGAAUUCCAUGUGUAGCGGUGAAAUGCGCAGAGAUAUGGAGGAAAACCAGUGGCGAAGGCGACUUUCUGGUCUGUAACUGACGCUGAUGUGCGAAAGCGUGGGGAUCAAACAGG